rnacentral:rRNA from 1 species
UACGUAGGGUGCGAGCGUUAAUCGGAAUUACUGGGCGUAAAGCGUGCGCAGGCGGUGAGCUGUGUCCGAUGUGAAAGCCCCGGGCUCAACCUGGGAAUGGCGAUGGAUACUGGCGAGCUAGAGUGCGGUAGAGGAGAGUGGAAUUCCCGGUGUAGCAGUGAAAUGCGUAGAGAUCGGGAGGAACAUCAGUUGCGAAGGCGGCUCUCUGGACCAGCACUGACACUGAGGCACGAAAGCGUGGGGAGCAAACAGG